rnacentral:rRNA from 1 species
CAGCCGCCGCGGGAAUACGUAGGUGGCAAGCGUUGUCCGGAAUUAUUGGGCGUAAAGGGCGCGUAGGCGGACUGAUAAGUCAGUGGUGAAAUCCCAAGGCUCAACCUUGGAACUGCCUUUGAUACUGUUUGUCUUGAGUUCGAGAGAGGUAAGUGGAACUGCGAGUGUAGAGGUGAAAUUCGUAGAUAUUCGCAAGAACACCAGUGGCGAAGGCGGCUUACUGGCUCGAUACUGACGCUGAGGCGCGAAAGCGUGGGGAGCAAACAGGAUUAGAUACCCCAGUAGUCCCUGUCUCUUAUAC